UAGGGGCAUGAAGUGAUUAUUCUGGCUGUCGCCAGGUUGGUGAAAAGGAGGGAGAUGAAACACCAAGCUCAAGGCAGCGCUGGGGCCUCUUCUCCCAGCUCUCCAUGGAAAUGCCUCUGGAGGAGAUACUGAGAGUGGGGAUGGCCACCUGCAGAUAGCGGGUGCGCUUGUAUCCUGCCCUCACACCCCCCGUUUUUCCCAGAAGGAGCCUGGUUUCUGUGCCAAGCGUGUGGGCUGUGUGCGACCAUCUGGCUGUGCGGCCGCUAUUGAUGAUAGCAGCGGGCAGCAGGAACCGGCCUGGCCGCGGGAGGGGGCUGCCCUCCGCUCCCCUUCCCCGCUGGGAAGUGGCACCCUGGCCCCGCAGCGCUCGGAGCUGUUGUCUUUCAAACUUAAUUUACUGGUUUCAGUAUUGUUAUUUUUUUAGCAUAUGAAGCAGCUGGCCCAGGGAAAGAGGAUGAGCACCUGGAGUGCCUUAACCUCCCCAUCCCUCAAGGGUUCCCACCUUCAGGCUCCCUGGCUGGCAGACAGCUGCGGGGAGAGAGAGCUGAGGAGGAGACGGCAUCCAGCCUCCUGUCAGCACGGUUUUCCUUCCAUCAGGCAAUUAAACCCGGAGGGCCCGGCUUCUCGGAGCGACCGCUGCUGUGUUUCCCCGGGAUCCCCGCUCCUUCCCGGAGCAGCUUCGGGACUCUUCAUCCAGGCGCUGACACCUGCGCUCAGCUGGGAAAUGCAAUUUAGGGAUCGUGGAGGAGGGAGUGGAAAGAGACGCCUGCAAACCCCGGACUCCUGCUCGUGGGGGGAAGGCUGCGCGGCUGCAAUCCCGGCAAGGGAGAAUGCCGUGCCGGGAAUUUCAUCCAGUUAACAGCAAGGGAGGAUGCGGCUGCCGGGAAUUUCAUCCAGCACCAGCGAAGGGAGGAGGAUGCUGCCACCAUUUUAGCGGCGGCGCUCCCGCCCGCCGCGGCCGGAACCGGGGCUGGAGGAGGGGGGGGGGGGGGGGGGGGGGGGGGGGGGGGGGGGGGGGG
rnacentral:lncRNA from 12 species